UCAGCAUGAUAAAUCAACACUUCAUUUAUCGGAUCGUUACACUUUGAAUUUGUCUAUCUCUUUACGUGGACAUAGCAGAUUGUGAAUUGGACCAUACGGAACAUCGCAAAAAUGAAGGUUAGCGCACUUCUCGUUGUCAUGCUGGUGUUUGCGAUGGUGAUCACCGCUCCAGAAGUUGUCAGUGCUAAAGCAGCAAAAAAGUCUAAAGAGGAAACUGAGGAGAACACCGAUAAAAAGGAAACAAAGGAAAGAAGCGAAGACAAGCAUCACUUUGGUAUCAAUCAUUGGUGAUUAUUUCAGGUAAUUAUACUGCAAACUUUAAUUUUAUUUUAUUUUGUUGGGUUUAACGUCGCACCGACACAAGCAAACUUUAAAGACAGAUGACG